rnacentral:rRNA from 1 species
UGGGGAAUAUUGCACAAUGGGCGCAAGCCUGAUGAAGCCAUGCCGCGUGUAUGAAGAAGGCCUUCGGGUUGUAAAGUACUUUCAGCGAGGAGGAAGGCGGUAAGGUUAAUAACCUUAUCGAUUGACGUUACUCGCAGAAGAAGCACCGGCUAACUCCGUGCCAGCAGCCGCGGUAAUACGGAGGGUGCAAGCGUUAAUCGGAAUUACUGGGCGUAAAGCGCACGCAGGCGGUCUGUCAAGUCGGAUGUGAAAUCCCCGGGCUCAACCUGGGAACUGCAUUCGAAACUGGCAGGCUAGAGUCUUGUAGAGGGGGGUAGAAUUCCAGGUGUAGCGGUGAAAUGCGUAGAGAUCUGGAGGAAUACCGGUGGCGAAGGCGGCCCCCUGGACAAAGACUGACGCUCAGGUGCGAAAGCGUGGGGAGCAAACA